GAAUGGUAGUAAGCCGCCACCAAAGAAUGGUGCAUGGUCAAUGAUCGUCUCAGCCUAAAAAAUUAGUGUAUCCUACAUAAAUGGUAAAAUAAUUAGAAAAUUUUUUUUCAAAGUUUUAUUGAAGUGACUAUAAAGUUUUAACUAUCACCAAAAACUCUCUCUUAUAUAACAUCUUAUCACUUCUUAGAAAAAUCAUUUUUUUGUUCGGAUGACUAAUAUUAUAGUGAU
rnacentral:lncRNA from 1 species